GGCUGUAGCUCAACUGUAGAAGAGCAUCUGCUUUGUGUGCAGAAGGUCCCGGGUUCAGUCACCUGUAUCUCCGGUUUGGGCCA